GCCUAAUUCACACAUGGAAUAAGGGGUUUUCUUCACCAACUUCAGAAAUACUGAGUCCUCAAAUAAAUUUCGGCAAAGAAACGUAUAUGAUAUAACAUAUGAUAUGCGGUAACUGUGGUUCUAUUUAAUGAUAUACGUGUGGCAAUAUGUAGUUUGUUGUCAUGGUGACUGUCAGCUGUGCGGCAGUCCCAGCCAAUCACGGUGGGAGACUAUCUAUAAAGGCGGGCGUAGAGCGCCUGUCGGCAUCUUGCUUGCCGCAGGCUGGGUCACGUUGCGCCUGGGCGUCCAUUUCCGCUUCCGUGCGGUGACAGGGCUCACUUGGAUGUUGCUGCUGGCUGCGCGCUGCUCAUCGAUACAUAGCCGAUGCCGCCUACUGAACUGUCGCUUUUGUAUAGCGUCCCGUUCCCUGCUCCACGUCACGUUGGCCGGGACUGCCCGAUUGGGUGGCCGACAGUAGCGGCGCAGCGGCGGCCAAUCCACCUGUAAAAACCACUGCUGCUUUGCUUGCACGUUAUUACCGCCUUGCCAGGGCCAGCUCGGACCCGAUCGCUUUGCCGUUCAUUCGGCUAGCGAUAGUUUGUUCCUUUUCCUGUUGUGUCGCUAUCUCUUUUGUUUAGUUGGUGCCACUACAUAUUAAAGUGUGUAUGUUAUGUAAGAGUUUUUGCUGAUUUCUCCUUGUUUACUUAUAGUUUUUGUUUAUUUAAUUAAUUUCUCUUAUUAUUAUUUUGUUUCCAUUAUGUUUUCUAACUGGUUGCUCUGCGAUCCCCCUCAAUUCAGGUGCUGAGCCUACGGUGGUGGACUGGUGUCCUGGUCACGGUGUCCCUUUUGUAUUGUGUUUGCAUUUGGUUUAUUUUUCAUUUGUUUUACGUGUGGUGUUCCUGGGACCCCCUUUCCUUUGGAUGCAGGUGUUCACAGUAGGUCUCAGCACUGAUUGGAUCUCAGCACCCAAUUUCCCUCCUUAGUGAGUAAUUCUCUAGUUUUAAGAACAGACAUUUUGUAU
ensembl:lncRNA